AUUCGUCUUCGGGGCAGGGUGAAAUUCCCUACCGGCGGUGAUGAAACCAUGUGUUUCUAAGCCCGCGAGCCUUUUGGGGCAGGAUUUGGUGCGAUUCCAAAGCCGACAGUAUAGUCUGGAUGGGAGAAGAUGAAG
rnacentral:ncRNA from 2 species